GUCGUACGGGAGUUUUUAACUCUAGUGGCGGACGGGUGAGUAACACGUAAGAAUUUGCCUUUAGGAGGGGGACAACAGCUGGAAACGGCUGCUAAUACCCCAUAUGCUUUCGAGUGAAAUGGAUUUCCGCCUAAAGAGAAGCUUGCGGCUGAUUAGCUUGUUGGUGAGGUAAUGGCUCACCAAGGCGACGAUCAGUAUCUGGUUUGAGAGGACGAUCAGACACACUGGAACUGAGACACGGUCCAGACUUCUACGGGAGGCAGCAGUGGGGAAUUUUCCGCAAUGGGCGCAAGCCUGACGGAGCAAUACCGCGUGAGGGAUGAAGGCCUAUGGGUUGUAAACCUCUUUUUUCAGGGAGGAACAUAAUGACGUGUACCUGAAGAAUAAGCAUCGGCUAACUCCGUGCCAGCAGCCGCGGUAAGACGGAGGAUGCAAGUGUUAUCCGGAAUCACUGGGCGUAAAGCGUCUGUAGGUGGUCAAAUAAGUCAACUGUUAAAUCUUGAGGCUUAACCUCAAAAUCGCAGUCGAAACUAUUAGACUAGAGUAUAGUAGGGGUAAAGGGAAUUUCCAGUGGAGCGGUGAAAUGCGUAGAGAUUGGAAAGAACACCAAUGGCGAAGGCACUUUACUGGGCUAUUACUAACACUCAGAGACGA
rnacentral:rRNA from 1 species